rnacentral:rRNA from 1 species
CUACUCCCGUGGAUUCAGUUGGUCAGCCGGCCGACGCCGAAUCUGAACGCUCCACUGGUGUCCGCUCUUGCUGAUCGGCGGAGGCCGGAGACACACAGUUUCCAUCUUCGGACUGGGGAGAUGACCGUGACGCUCGAGGAUGUCUCUUUGAUCACCGGUCUUGCUAUCGAUGGGAUGCCUCUCUGUAUGAGCACCGAUUCUGAUGGGUGGUGCGAGCAGAUGAUUGCUCUUAUCGGUAUGGCUCCUACCGAGGCUGAGGCUGAUGUAGAGGAGGGAGAAGAGCCGAAGAAGAAGGAAAGGAAAGCAGCCGGAGCUGCUUUCACGUGGAUUCAAGCAAACUUUGUGCAUUGCCCUGCGGAUGCCACUGAUGAUGUGAUACAGACACAUGCUCGUGUCUAUAUGUGGUACGUUGUCUCGAGGACUUUGUUUCCUGACUCCACGGGCAAGAACGCUCCAUGGAUGUGGCUGAAGGCGUUGACCGUCUUCGAUAGCAAAUGGAGCAGGGUUCAGCAACUCUUGCGUACUUGUACCGAUAGGUAG